ensembl:lncRNA
GAGAAAAAGUUUCUUGUCCAGAGGGUUGAAGGACUGAGAAGGGAAGGGCCUACAUCAAGGACCUCACUGGAGAUGUUACUGGGGUCUCCUGAUUCCUAGGAAUAUUAACUUGAAAUUACUGUUUUGGGGUUUUUUUUUUUUUUGGUCAAAGAAUUGUAUACUAAUUUAGGCUUUUCCCAGCGGAAUCCUUUUUUUCAUCAUCUGCCCCCACCAACUGUUUUUAAAAGAACUCUCUAGAGCAUUUCUAAUGAGAAGUUUUGGAGGUAUUUUUUGCUUCGGGCAGCUCUGUUUCCUAAGCCUAUUCUGGGCUGUUUGUGUUACCAGUAGCAAUGUGUCUAAUUGCUUCCUACUAAGAGGACUGGAACUAGCAGCAAAGGAAGAUGCUCCUUUCCUUCUCCGCUUCCCCUCAUGAACUCUGGCGUCAAGCUGAGUAUGGCCAUACCAGACUCAUGUCCACAGUUGUUCUGGGCGCAUGAGAUGGAGAAAAUGCAUUGGACUGCUCUUCGUGGCCUUCAGUAUCACAGUGGCUGGCGGGGAAUUGCCUGCCAGUUUCCUACAGUCAGGAAGAGAAGGGCAGGCAGACUCUCCCAGGCUCCGAGUGCAGAAGCCUCCAGUGCAGGGGCUGGGGCUGGAGCCUGCCAAAUGAGCAGCGGAAACAGUCACCGGAUAGGGGCCAACAGCAGAUUUAUGUGCAAGAAAGGAACACAAGGCUCCCAGCAGCAGGGCUGAGUGGAGACGCACAGCUUCCCGCAGAGGCACAGGACCGUCUCUGUGCAAGAGCUGAGCCUGCCCCAGGCAUGGUGUACUUGUUUGGAAGAUGUCCUGUGAUGGCACACAGAGCCGUGUCCAGUCCCCCACCCCUCUUCAAGCCAUAGUAGUUCACACUGGCUAGGGGAAACGCUUUACCAUCUGUUCGUCUUUAAGAUCUGACUCAUUAUUUUUAUUUCAGCUGUCGCCAAGCAAUAGCAAAAAUCUCAACACAACAGCACAUUCACCAUCGUGAACUGUCUUGUCUUCAGUCAGCAGAAAAAAGAACAGCACAUCCCCAGUUCUCUGCAGUGUGUGAGACUCGUCUUCUGCACAACGACAGGAAAGGAGAGAAAGGGUACAGACAGCUGCUGCAGUAACCUUGGCCAUCAACUGCAUCCUGGCAAAAAAAAAAAAAAAAAAAAAAACAGAAAAAACCCACCCACAUUCAUGGCUUAUGCUGCUUGUCUCGUCUCCACCCUUACAAAAAUAGGGCAUGACCACGCUUACUGCACAUCCUUUCCCUGCAUGCUGCUGGUCGCCCAGACAGCGUUACGCAGCAGGCCCAGCCCUCACUCACUGUCUGUGUCUCCCCUGCCCAAUGCCUGCCUUUGCCUGUGACUGCCCUCCUCACUUCUGUUCCUGCUCACAUGCCAGAGGGCUCUGCUCUCUCCCCCAUCCAGACAGGAAUCCAUCUGACUGUGUCUGCACUAUAUAUGCGUAUACGUUUAAGGAAAGGCUCACCAAAUGGGGAAACACCUCUAGAGCUGCUGUUUUAGAACUCCAGCACGGCUCCAGCCAGACAAAAGAUAUUUUAUGCUAACUUUGGUCCCGCUGCCAAACGUGUUCCGAGAGGCAGCCCUCGUCUCAUAAAUUACUGCAGUUAGCAACACUCCAGAAGGCAGGAGAUACUUAAAAAACUGACAAUGCAAAUGAAAUAGCUUAUGUGAGGGAUGUCUUGUGGUGAGGCCCCUCUGGAAGGGACUCGGUGCAGCCUUCUCAGGAGCAAUGCAGCCUCACCUUCAGCACAUGCAUCUGCAAAUGGACCCCGGUGUGCAGCAGGGUGUGGAUGGCAUGGCUGUGUGUGUGUGAAGGUGCCAUCAACACCAGACGAGAUAGGGCUGCAUUAUUAGAAAAAUAUCCCAUGCUUCACAAUCAUGCCCUACUGAUGUCAUCGUUUUUUGUCAGCACAUACAGUUGUGAACAACUGUUUUCAAGGAUGACAUAUAGUAAAAUUGCAUCAAAAAUCUCUGAUAAACACCUUGAGAGCUCACUAAGAAUUGGAACUGCUUCCACUGAACUACACUGAUGCAUCAGUUCCACAAAACCGAGGUCAAACAUCCCUCUAGUUUUAUGUUUUGUUGCUCUCUUUGAUGUUUUAAUAAUAAGGUUUGUUACUUAUAUGCGUUAACGAUAUUAUAUAUUUCACAAGCGCUGCUCC